AAGUCCUCUGAAGAACAUCCAGUCGAUUUGUGGGAUCUACGCGCCUCCUCGGAAUGCCCUCGUCACAAGGAAACGCAGAUCCCACCGACCGCCUGAGUGUGCUUACGAGGCCUU